CACGUAGGGCGCGAGCGUUGUCCGGAAUUAUUGGGCGUAAAGAGCUCGUAGGCGGCCUGUUGCGUCCGCUGUGAAAGCCCGGGGCUUAACCCCGGGUCGGCAGUGGGUACGGGCUGACUAGAGUGCGGUAGGGGAGACUGGAAUUCCUGGUGUAGCGGUGAAAUGCGCAGAUAUCAGGAGGAACACCGGUGGCGAAGGCGGGUCUCUGGGCCGACAUUGACGCUGAAAACCGAAAGCUAGGGGAGCAAACGGG
rnacentral:rRNA from 1 species